UUCCGUAGGGUGAACCUGCGGAAGGAUCAUUACCUAGAGUUUGUGGGCUUUGCCCGCUACCUCUUACCCAUGUCUUUUGAGUACUUACGUUUCCUCGGCGGGUCCGCCCGCCGAUUGGACAAAAUCAAACCCUUUGCAGUUGCAAUCAGCGUCUGAAAAACAUAAUAGUUACAACUUUCAACAACGGAUCUCUUGGUUCUGGCAUCGAUGAAGAACGCAGCGAAAUGCGAUAAGUAGUGUGAAUUGCAGAAUUCAGUGAAUCAUCGAAUCUUUGAACGCACAUUGCGCCCCUUGGUAUUCCAUGGGGCAUGCCUGUUCGAGCGUCAUUUGUACCUUCAAGCUUUGCUUGGUGUUGGGUGUUUGUCUCGCCUCUGCGUGUAGACUCGCCUUAAAACAAUUGGCAGCCGGCGUAUUGAUUUCGGAGCGCAGUACAUCUCGCGCUUUGCACUCAUAACGACGACGUCCAAAAGUACAUUUUUACACUCUUGACCUCGGAUCAGGUAGGGAUACCCGCUGAACUUAAGCAUAUCAAUAAGCGGAGGAAUUUGCC
rnacentral:rRNA from 1 species